ACGCAGUAUACGCUUUGCAAACCUUGAGUGCAAGUGAUGUAUUCGUUGAGACUUGCCUUGUUUAUUAUCCUGGCUGUUGAAACUUAUGGGUUAUCUAUUCAUGACCUUAAAACCCAUCUGGCCACGAUGCAGAGAAUUUGGACUCGGUACCGGAGUUUCGAAAGAAGCACCCACAGGCAUAAGCACGUCUGCAUAUACUUUGAUGUACGCCCCCAGGCAACCGGAACAUAUUUAUUCACCCAGCAUUACGAGCUUGACCGAAAAUGGAGAAGCCAUCAGUUUUAUGGAGCAAUAUCCCAAAGCCACGGCGGACCCAUGAUGCGGUUGAGCAAGACGCCAGGAUCACCGGGCGUGGAUUACACCAUGGUUUUCUGGAAUGAUGUGGAGCACUGUGCCGUUUUUACUUUCAUGGCGAAUGGUAAAAAAGAAUGCGAGAUGCACGUGUGGGGUGAUCACGUUGGAGCACACGUGGCACAGUGCCAAACCGCAUAUAAGUGUCACUGUACCGGGCCACAAUAUGCGCCCUACAGCCGUCAAUGUAUGUCUUGA